GCUCGCCGCCCGAGAGUGUUUUAUCGUGCUGCACGGUUUCUUUAUGUUGAUCAUUUUUAUGUCAUGUCUUUGCCACGUAACCAGUGGAUGUAGAGGACGGCAGCCGGGGCGGGGCGGGGGGAGAGCGCGAGAGGAGGUCAAAGUGCACUCCGACUGCAGGAAGUGUACAACUCUUGGCGGGACGUAUUACUUUUUUCAUGGAUGGAGCCAGGAUUUUGGGAUGCGGUGCCAUCUGGAUUUAAUGAAACAUUGCUCGUAUUUUCAUUAUUAUUACAUCAUGGUAAUAGUCUAGUGUGUUUGGGUGGUUGUGGACGUUCACAGCGCAGCGACUGACUGACUGACUUACACCUGAGAGGAUCAUCUAAUUCCGCAGACAAGAGCAGAUGGUGUCCACUGCUCUCUGAAGGGGAAAUGGAACCAGAGUCUUGUAAGGAGCACAAGGACACUGCGGUGAGAGAGGUGAGGGACCCCACAUGUGAGCUCGCGGGUAUGGUCGGACCGUGUGGGCCUGAGGAGGGAAGGGAGGAGGAGCUGGGUAGAACAAAGAAGGAUGAAGGUGAGACCCCUGGAGUAGACGUCCCAUCGGUGAACUCCGAGACCAGAAACUCCUCUCAUCCAGAAGGGGAAGGAGAAGAGACGCAAUGCCGAGGACGGAGAGAACUGAAGAAGACAAACAGCUGGAAGAUGGUGCGAUUCCAAGAACCGUCCUUGGAGGAUAAUGUGCUGGAGAGGGACAGCUCGUCAGAGAGUCUUUUUCCGGAAUAUGCCAUGGAGGAGUGGACCAUGAUCUCUUUCGAGAAACUGUUCCUGAAAGAAGACUGGAAGCAUAUAACAGACGACCGACUGCUGAGGAAAAAGGUGCUGGAGCCCGCCGGCCCCUCGGCCCCUCGGCCCAUCUGGGGCCAGCAGGUUACGGUGAAGAUGCAGGCCGUCCUCGAGGACCGCACUGUGGUGGAGAAGGACUGCAAGCUGGUGUUUGUUAUCGGGGAAAGAGACGUGAGCCAGGCGCUGGAGGAGUGCGUCCUGUCUAUGCACAGGGGCGAGAUCACGUUACUGCUGGCUGAUUCCCAGUACACAUACGGGCUCAUGGGCAGAGAGCCCGACAUCCCCGCCUGGGCUCCUCUGCUCUACCAGCUGCAGCUGCUGCACGUCAGAGACAAACCAGAUCCGCUGAAUUUGCCGGUAUCCGAUCGCAUCCGUAUUGCCAACCAGAAGCGGGAGCGAGGGAACUUCCAUUUCCAGAGGGAGGAGUACGGCAUGGCCGCACGAGCCUACUGUAUGGCUCUGGACGUGCUCACCACCUGCGGCAGCAGAGAUGCUGGUCAUGGCGAGAAGGGGGAAGAACAGGAGGUGCGCGACUACAGGGUGAAGUGUUUGAACAACCUGGCCGCAGCGCAGCUCAAACUGGAGCAGUACAACGAGGCGCUACAUGCCAGCCGCGACGUCCUGGCCCUCGACCCCAACAACGUCAAAGCUCUCUACAGGGCGGGCAAGAUCCUGUCAGACUUGAGUGAAUACAAAGAGGCCAUGGAGCUGCUCAAGAAGGCCUUGAAACUGGAGCCGACCACCAAGGUGACUCAGCUGACUGGUAGGCAGGUUAGUGCCCUCUUUUGACCAGCCAACGGUGUUAUUGAUUGUACUGGUACAGCUUGGUGGCGGCCAGCUGUAUCUCACUUCGUACCCACAAAUGUCAUUUGUAUUGUGAAAGCUUAUGUAAUAUGACAUCUGCGACUUUACAACACCCCACAACCUCACGUUCAACCACGUAGAUCGGUGGGCCUCACUUAUUAAUUUCGUAUAAGCCACGGGCUGCUUAAAAAAAAAAAAAAUAAAAUAAAAUAAAAAGUCGGUGGGCUACAAAUGGUACCAGGGCCGUAGUUUGGACAACACUGGGCUAGAUCAUAGCGCAACAUUUAUGUCGCACUGUUACUGUGUAAAGAACAGUAAGCUGACCCAAAGUCUGAGUCUGCUCAUUGUCUAGACUUGAGACAAAACCAAAAUAUCUUCCGCUCUGGUAAUUGCAACCUGGGCCUCAACGACGGCGGAUAGCAGCAACAGUUGCACUGGCAGAAAAUCACACUGAUGACUAAACGUGAGCAAACACGCACGCUUUUGUGAACAAAGAGGACACGUUAGGCUGCGUGUCCCAAUUUAUUUAUUUCUUGUCACGUGCAUGCGGAAAACCUGCAGAAAUAUUUCAGAAACACAAGCAGCUGACAAGAACAUUGCACAACAAAUCUAUUUAGUUUUAAAUGAUUUGACCUUCAGAAAUUAAAUAGACUAAAUAAAUAAAUACAUAAAAGCCCAACAAUGUUAUAGUUUGAAUUACUAGUAUAGUAUAUAAUACAAUUUUGAAGAACUAAUACAGUUGAAAUUGUCUUGGGUUAAAAUAUGAUUUGGAUUAUUCAUGUACUAUACAGUACAGUGCACAGUUUUAUUUUCUGCUGGCAUCUUGUGGAUAUUUUGAAAACUACAGCAAACAGCCGUGCUUUUAUGGUUCAUCCAUCAAUCCAAUUUCUGAGCCGCUUCUCCUCACUCGGGUCGCGGGCGUGCUGGAGCCCAUCCCAGCUAUCAUCGGGCAGGAGGCGGGGUACACCCUGAACUGGUUGCCAGCCAAUCGCAGGGCACUGCUUUUAUUGUAUUUAAUAUUAAAAAUACGGACUAAAAUGUACAUAGUGUACUAUGCAUUACUGUGUGUUUAAGCAUAUAGAAAGUGUUUUUAAGAGUAUGGUAGAGGUGAAUUGGAGUGUGGGGAAGAUAAGAGUCUGGGGUGAUUUAUACAAAUUUAGAAUAUGGAUAAAUCAGAAUCAGAAUCCUCUGUAUUUGCCAAGUAUGUAAAAAACACACAAGGAAUUUGUCUCCGGUAGUUGCAGCCGCUCUAGUUCGACAAUGAAUACUUUUUACGCAUAAAAACAUUAAAAACAAUACGGAGAGUCAUUUAGCCUCUAGCAAUUCAGUGGCAAGAGGGAAGAAGCUGUUGGAAUGUCUGCUUGUUUUAGUUUGCAUUGUUCGAGACCGCCCACCUGAGGGAAGGAGCUGGAAGAGGCGGUGACCAGGAUGUGGGGGGUCCAAGAGGAUUUUGCAUGCUCUUAAUUGUCUUAGUUGUGCCAGCGUGCAAGUCCUCAAGGGCGGGUUGGGGGCUACUGACCAUUUUUCCGGCAGUCCUGAUUGUCCGUUGCAGUCGGAGUUUGUCCUUUUUUGUGGCUGUACCGAACCAGACUGUGAUGGAUGAACACAGGACUGAUUCGAUGGCCGCUGUGUAGAACUGCCUCAACGGCUCCUGUCGCAGGCCGUACUUCCUCAGAAGCCGCAGGAAGUACAUCCUCUGCUGGGCCUUUUUGAGGAUGGAGUUGAUGUUGGUCUCCCACUUCAGGUCCUGAGAGACUGCCAUCCACGCUGAACUUUCCAAGCUGGUGAAGCGGCAGUCGGGGGGUGAAACCACGCGAGAAUGGAAAGCCAAGCC